rnacentral:rRNA from 1 species
ACGUACACUCCUGCGGGAGGCAGAAGUGAGGAAUAUUGGACAAUGGGUGGAAGCCUGAUCCAGCCAUCCCGCGUGCAGGAAGACGGCCCUAUGGGUUGUAAACUGCUUUUAUCUGGGGAUAAACCUACUUACGUGUAAGUAGCUGAAGGUACCAGAAGAAUAAGCACCGGCUAACUCCGUGCCAGCAGCCGCGGUAAUACGGAGGGUGCAAGCGUUAUCCGGAUUUAUUGGGUUUAAAGGGUCCGUAGGCGGACUGAUAAGUCAGUGGUGAAAUCCGACAGCUUAACUGUCGAACUGCCAUUGAUACUGUUAGUCUUGAGUAAGGUUGAAGUGGCUGGAAUAAGUAGUGUAGCGGUGAAAUGCAUAGAUAUUACUUAGAACACCAAUUGCGAAGGCAGGUCACUAAGUCUUAACUGACGCUGAUGGACGAAAGCGUGGGGAGCGAACAGGAUUAGAAACCCCAGUAGUCCCAUG